rnacentral:rRNA from 1 species
AGAGUUUGAUCAUGGCUCAGAUUGAACGCUGGCGGCAGGCCUAACACAUGCAAGUCGAACGGUAACAGGAAGCAGCUUGCUGCUUUGCUGACGAGUGGCGGACGGGUGAGUAAUGUCUGGGAAGCUGCCUGAUGGAGGGGGAUAACUACUGGAAACGGUAGCUAAUACCGCAUAAUGUCGCAAGACCAAAGAGGGGGACCUUCGGGCCUCUUGCCAUCGGAUGUGCCCAGAUGGGAUUAGCUUGUUGGUGGGGUAACGGCUCACCAAGGCGACGAUCCCUAGCUGGUCUGAGAGGAUGACCAGCCACACUGGAACUGAGACACGGUCCAGACUCCUACGGGAGGCAGCAGUGGGGAAUAUUGCACAAUGGGCGCAAGCCUGAUGCAGCCAUGCCGCGUGUAUGAAGAAGGCCUUCGGGUUGUAAAGUACUUUCAGCGGGGAGGAAGGGAGUAAAGUUAAUACCUUUGCUCAUUGACGUUACCCGCAGAAGAAGCACCGGCUAACUCCGUGCCAGCAGCCGCGGUAAUACGGAGGGUGCAAGCGUUAAUCGGAAUUACUGGGCGUAAAGCGCACGCAGGCGGUUUGUUAAGUCAGAUGUGAAAUCCCCGGGCUCAACCUGGGAACUACAUCUGAUACUGGCAAGCUUGAGUCUCGUAGAGGGGGGUAGAAUUCCAGGUGUAGCGGUGAAAUGCGUAGAGAUCUGGAGGAAUACCGGUGGCGAAGGCGGCCCCCUGGACGAAGACUGACGCUCAGGUGCGAAAGCGUGGGGAGCAAACAGGAUUAGAUACCCUGGUAGUCCACGCCGUAAACGAUGUCGACUUGGAGGUUGUGCCCUUGAGGCGUGGCUUCCGGGGCUAACGCGUUAAGUCGACCGCCUGGGGAGUACGGCCGCAAGGUUAAAACUCAAAUGAAUUGACGGGGGCCCGCACAAGCGGUGGAGCAUGUGGUUUAAUUCGAUGCAACGCGAAGAACCUUACCUGGUCUUGACAUCCACGGAAGUUUUCAGAGAUGAGAAUGUGCCUUCGGGAACCGUGAGACAGGUGCUGCAUGGCUGUCGUCAGCUCGUGUUGUGAAAUGUUGGGUUAAGUCCCGCAACGAGCGCAACCCUUAUCCUUUGUUGCCAGCGGUCCGGCCGGGAACUCAAAGGAGACUGCCAGUGAUAAACUGGAGGAAGGUGAGGAUGACGUCAAGUCAUCAUGGCCCCUUACGACCAGGGCUACACACGUGCUACAAUGGCGCAUACAAAGAGAAGCGACCUCGCGAGAGCAAGCGGACCUCAUAAAGUGCGUCGUAGUCCGGAUUGGAGUCUGCAACUCGACUCCAUGAAGUCGGAAUCGCUAGUAAUCGUGGAUCAGAAUGCCACGGUGAAUACGUUCCCGGGCCUUGUACACACCGCCCGUCACACCAUGGGAGUGGGUUGCAAAAGAAGUAGGUAGCUUAACCUUCGGGAGGGCGCUUACCACUUUGUGAUUCAUGACUGGGGUG